UACGUAGGGGGCAAGCGUUGUCCGGCUUCAUUGGGCGUAAAGAGCGUGUAGGCGGCCAGGUAGGUCGGUUGUGAAAACUGGAGGCUCAACCUUCAGAGGUCGACCGAAACCAUCUGGCUAGAGUCCGGGAGAGGAGAGUGGAAUUCCUGGUGUAGCGGUGAAAUGCGCAGAUAUCAGGAAGAACACCCGUGGCGAAAGCGGCUCUCUGGAACGGUACUGACGCUGAGACGCGAAAGCGUGGGGAGCGAACAGG
rnacentral:rRNA from 1 species